AGAUUAAACAUAAGAGUUUGAUCCUGGCUCAGAUUGAACGCUGGCGGCAUGCUUUACACAUGCAAGUCGAACGGCAGCACGGAGAGCUUGCUCUCUGGUGGCGAGUGGCGAACGGGGGAGUAAUGCAUCGGAACGUACCGAGUAAUGGGGGAUAACUGUCCGAAAGGAUGGCUAAUACCGCAUACGCCCUGAGGGGGAAAGCGGGGGAUC
rnacentral:rRNA from 1 species